rnacentral:rRNA from 1 species
GAGGAAUAUUGGUCAAUGGGCGACAGCCUGAACCAGCCAUCCCGCGUGAAGGAAGAAGGCGCUAUGCGUUGUAAACUUCUUUUCCAGAGGAAUAAAAUUUUGUACGAGUACGGAACUGAAGGUACUCUGGGAAUAAGCAUCGGCUAACUCCGUGCCAGCAGCCGCGGUAAUACGGAGGAUGCGAGCGCUAUCCGGAUUCAUUGGGUUUAAAGGGUGCGUAGGCGGACUUAUAAGUCAGUGGUGAAAACCUGCAGCUUAACUGUAGACGUGCCAUUGAUACUGUUAGUCUUGAGUAUGGUCAAGGUAGGCGGAAUGUGUAAUGUAGCGGUGAAAUGCUUAGAUAUUACACAGAACACCGAUUGCGAAGGCAGCUUACUGGGCCAUUACUGACGCUGAUGCACGAAAGCGUGGGGAGCGAAC